UGUUGCUCCCAGGGGACGCAGGGCCUCUGCUGCUGCCUCAGGACAGAGAGCAGAGAUGUGUUUCCAGCAGGUUCUGCUGCCCGCCCCAGGGGUGACCUUGGAAGCUUUGCAGCAACUUGGUGUCUCCUGAGUCGCCAGAGAGAAGGUGCCUUGUUGUACUGAGUGCUGAGGAGGGGACGCUGGGUGGCUUCCCUGGGCAAGCUAGUUGCUGAGCAGCACAGGCCCUUGCAUUUUUCUGGGCUGUCCCCAUGUUUCAUUCCUCCCCUCCCGGACAGUAUUUGAACAAUACAUAUUUUACUAAAGGACUCAUGGAUUGCAGGGUCCCACGACAUCACCUCAUAGAUGCAGUGGAUGGUUUGUUCCAGAUUCAGGCUUGUUUCUGGGAAGAAAUCCUGACAGAAAUUCAGAAGAACAGGAGCUGCAUUCCGUUAGGACGUGAAUACAUGAAAUGUUCAUCUCAGGACCUUCUAGAAGAAUGAGCUGGGACCCACUUUCCGAGUGCUGCUGUAACCAGAGACCGAGGCCGCUGCUAUGACACCCGACAGGGAACCUGAAGUAGAGAGGGAUCCAGGAGCAGCCCAGCUACCGCUUGGCUCCCAAAAGUAGUCACCCUGCAACUCUUUAUGGAAGAGGAGAAAACAUCACCACCACCACCACCACCACUACCAUUUCAUAGCCCUGCACUGAAUGUGGAUACAACAAGAACUCACUCCCAAAAGGAAACUCCAGCAGGGUACAUGUACAGAACCUACAGUGUUGGUCAAGUAUUUUGGAUCACUAAGUGAGAUUGUACUUUUGACUGCUGCAGAAGCACGCAUCACUUAAGGCUUGCAUCUUCCCUCUACCUCUAUACUCCAAGUUCCUGGCUGGCACUGGAAUUACAUCCUUAGCAUGGGCAUCAUACCCUCCAGGUGAGGAAGCUGAAAAUGACACUGAACCGGCGGCAAAGAAGAAUCAGCUGGCAGCUGCAGAUCUCAGUUCAUGAGAAGAAUGCUCAGGACAACUAAAUCAAGACUCAGAUCUGGGACAGGAAGAUGGCAGAGCAGGGCACGGAGGUCGCUUACUUGAAAUACAGACUGGAUGGGAUGGGAGCAAAGAGGCUGCCUGAGGGAUACACGAGGCAGAAACCAAUGGCUGCAGGACCAGAGAUGCAGAACACUCCAAGGAGAGGUAAGGAGCACGUUGUGAUGUGCCGCAGUUUAAUUUCUGUUGUGCAGCCUGUUGCUGUGGAUGAUCAUCAUGUGGUCUGGAAAGAAUCACAAGCACUAAGGACAUCAGGUGGUCUGAAGGGGUGACAGAAGGGUGUUCUCCUCUGGUGCUGCAGGCAAUGAGGCACUUGUCCCUGUGACUGGUGGAACUCAUGCCCCUCCUCUGACUGUGACCCUCCCACCUCCUCUAGAAUCCCCCUGUCUGAAGAGCCUGGAAAGGAUGACAGGACAUAGGCCUCAUCCUUCUUCCCACCCGGACUCAAUGUGAAGACUUUGGUUUAUUUGAGAAGAAGGUCAUUUAUUCACUAUUUUUAACGGUCUUUAUUUUUGUUUAUUUUGGGGAACUGUAGCCCUACAUCCCUAAAUUCAAGUUCCAUAGAGCUUAGCUUAGUCCUCUGAUGGUAUCAGUGCAACUCUGCAGCUUCACUGCUAAAUUCUCAUAGUUUUCCUUUUCUCUAUAGUGUAAAAUUAGUCUUUAGUUAUAUACUAACUGCUCUCAUGUGGAAGACAGCUUGUAGAUAAGCUGAGAGAUUGAACAAUUUGCUGAAGUCUGAAGAAAUGCACUUCUUCUUGAGGAUUCAUUGAGGAUAUACACCAAACCAGUAUUCUCAAUUUUAUUCUUUUUUUUAAUGCUUAUUUAUUUUGAGAGAGGCAGAGACAGAAUGCCAAGCAGGCUCCACACUGUCAGUGAGGAACCCAACGCUGGGCUUGAAUUCACAAGCUAUGAGAUCGUGACCUGAGCCAAAAUCAAAAGUUGGAUGCUUAAUCCAAGCAUCCUCAUAUUUGUUCUUGAUCUGUAAUAAAAUCGUGAUUUCCCAUGAUGUUUACUGAGAAACCUCUGUUUUACUGAUGAAUUCUAAAUUGCUAGUUGUGCCUGACCUGUCCAGAGUUAUGUGAUUAAUUAUGAAACAACAUGAACUAGGGCACCGUGAGGUCUUUAUCAAGGUGAGGGGAUGGUUCUCCCCCUUAUUUUUGGGGGUCACCUGAGGCAUGUGGGAUACCCUCUGCCUCUGGUCAGGGACCUGAGUGUAGGGAAAAGUUUAAGAUAUUUGAGGAAUGAGUUGAGAGAUUGUUUUCAUUCCGCACAGUCCUCUAAAAGCAGAAUAAACCUCUGUCCCUUCUAGGGUCUUUAGUAGAUCGAGAAACUGCUGAAAACUCUGUGAGUUACAGUGGCUGUGACUGUACCAAGAAUGCAGACAAGGACAAGGUAAAUGCCAGGGCCAUUAUCAGUUGUAACUCUUUUGGGAAACCCUCAUCUUUAUGUACAGCAUGCUUUCCCGGCCUUGUCUCGUUUUGCGUGUUGUGUUAUAUGUCUGUUCUUUGUUUUCCAAAUGCACACUCAACCCAGGAGCCCACAGGCUUCUCAAUUUUUAGUCUGUCAGCUUUCUGUGGUAAGUUUAGAAGCCAAAAGCGCUUACAGACUGAGUACCUUAAGGUUUUUCCGUGAAUUUCAGGAAAUAAUGAGAGGAGGAUGACCCCACACUCCAAACAGAAGUCUCCUGGCCUGGGUGACCCCUUUGAGACCUCACCUCUGUGGGAACAGUGUGGCUGCUGCGUCUUCCUUUCUUGAUUCUGGCUAGGAGAUGAAUCUGUUAGAAACGAUAUCAUGACUUCAACUUUAUAUUUUGUGCCCUGUGCCAUUUAGAGUGGUCCUGGAUAAAGUCAAUGUCAUCACUCAUCACCUUCCCAUCUUGGUUGUUAGAUGAUUUGUCUGGAAUCCUUCCAGCUAUACCUUAGGUAAACAUUGUUUGAACACUGUGUCCUUCAAUUGUGUUUCUAUAAGCAGUUUCUGGUUGUGUCCCCAGUCACUAUUAGAGUUGAUACAGUCUCAUGACACAUACCAGGAGUUUUAUACCAAAACACUUGCAUAAAAUCUGUUAUGUGAAUUUCUCCCUCUUUUUUUCUGUUGCACAUAAUUACUCUGUGUCCUGUAGUAUGCUUAAAGUCAGAAUUCCCUAUGAUUUAAGAUGAACACAUCUGAGCUUUGUAGACAUUCACCACAAGUAACGUGUUCCUCACAGAAGACUCUCAUUCCUUACAAGAUUCCAGGCAUCCUCCACUCCCCAGAGGUCUCAGAGGCCUAUGACAACAUUUCAAGAGGGAACACUCCUUUCUCAGGGAGAGGAGCAGAGGAGGCACAGUGAGGGUCCAGCUUCAGAACUUUUUGCCAGGAGUGGCUGUGAUUCCAUGAGCAGAAUAUGAGCCGUUUAUUCCCACUCAUUUUUUUGUGUGUUCUUAAUAUACCAAAAGCAGAGCAUCUGGAGUCACCAUCGAGGAGGGAUGCAGGGUGAACCUGAACAUUGAUGGCUGCCUGUCUGGAGAAUGCUACUUCAUUAGUCUGUAAUUACUUCUGUUAACCCUCUAGGACAGGACCCUUGCCAUUUUACUUCCGCAGACCUGGGCAGUGAUGUGUGGUGGCUGUAGGUUAACCUCUUUCAUCUACUACCCCAAGCUGUAGGUGGUAUCCAGUGUCAGGGACAGAGUUUUCAGGUAGUGAUGCUACUCUCUUGGAUCCUGGUGGCAGAGAAUGUGGCAGGUGCUGACGCAUUCUUCUCUGGGUUACAGCUGCUCUUGGUAUUGGUUCUCUUCUCUGGCAUAUGGAUAUAGCUGUCACUUCUUCAGGGCAGUCUGGAUCCUGGGAAUCUCCUCUGUUAACUGGACGAUUCUGCAUGCCCCGUCCCCAUGGACUAUUAGGCACGCCCACCUCCUGAACCUUGGUGGCCCUGAGGCCACCCAGAACCCCUCCACCUGCAACACUUGGUAAGAUGAUCUGAGCACUAGAAGUUGACUUGUAAAACACACUCACCUUAUUUUUGUUGCUGUUAGGUCUUGGGCCAAGGUGCAGAGGCGGUACCACAGACCAUUGUGAUGCAAGGGGAAUGUGUCUGCUGCCAUUACCACAUUCCUCAAGUUUCUUAGGAUCUCAUCUUUGUCAUUUCCCGCACCAUGUGUUGGUACAGGUGUUUCUUGUGGAGAAGGAAUGGGGCUGUAUGCAGAAAACCAGACAUAGCGCUUCAGCAGAAAUGCCCUGUACACAGUCCACAUGCUGGGAUCUGUGAGGCAUGAGGUACAGUGUUACGUAUGUCCAUCCAGUUGUGCCCCAAGCCAUCCAUAGUUGUUCUAUGAAUGAUGAAUACAUCUGAAUCAGGGCUUUUAGGGGUCUUCUUCAAGUUAUACGGGAUGGUUCUUCAAGUUCUUCUUGGGGAUCAAUGGAGGCAUGUGGGAUACCCUGUGCAUGUGAUUUGGGAUCUGACUGGGGCAAAGAGUUUAAGUUGUUGGAAGUAUCAGGGGAGGGUCUUUUGUUUUUGAUCUCCAAACAGUCUACUCAAAUCAGAAUAAACCUCCAUCCCUUCUAGGGCUUUUUGCAGGUCCAGAAGCAGGUGUCACACCCAAGAGUGACAUCGACACUGGCUCUGCCAGAACUGCCAAGAAGCACAAAGUAAAUGCUGUGGCCAUUUUCAGUUCUAAGUCUUUACAGACAGCCACAUACUUCUGUACAGAACACUCUCCUGCCAUUGUCUCUGGUUUGUGUGUUGUAUGGUAGGUCUGCUGUUUUUGUUUUUUUUCCCAAAUGUAAAACAUUUACCCCCGAGUCUUCGGGCUUCCCUGUUUUCCAUCUGGCAUCUGUUUGUGGUAACUUGAGCAGCUAAGCGUGCCUAAGGGUGGGGACCAUAGGGAUUUUCCAAUGUCUUCCUGGAAUAAAUCAAGGAGGAUGACACCACACUCCACUUGGAAGUCUCCUACCUUGCCUCAUUCUUUGUGGAUCUCCUCAAUGUGGAAUCAUUGCUCUUGCUGUUUCUUCUUUUCCUGUUUCCUUCUAUCGAGGGUUUUACUGUGGUCAGAAAAAUCUGUGGGUAUCCUUACAAUUUGAAAAGGCAAACUCCCUUCACUCCAACUUUUUUUUUUUGUAUGUGUCAUUUAGAAUGGUCUUAGACAAAGUAAAUUUCAUACCCAUCAGCAUUUUGGUAAACAUGCUGCCCAGAAUCCCUUCAGGUGUGCCCUGGGCAUAAAUACUCUGAACUAUAAGAUGUGGCAUAUUUGUCAUAGAAAACAUGCACUGAAACUUAAGUUGUGAAGAGAAAAAAUUCAAAAUUACUUGUGUGGCAAGUCCCCACCGUGUCCUUCACUUGUGUUCACAUGAGCAAGUUCUCUCGUGUCCUGUGUCACAGGUACAGCCAAAACAUGGAAACUUACACCAGACAUCAAAGUGCAUUUGUGUUAAUUUUGUCUUUUAGAAUUUCAGCCCAUUUUUCCAGAGGACACAAUUACCCUGCAAAGUGUACUGCACUUAAGCUGAGAAAUACCUCCGAACUAAAAUAAAUUAGCUGAACCCAACUAACAUGUAUAGGUUACCCGUUUCUCUAGGAGCAUGCUUUCCCAGAUCCUCUGCAGGCCCUCAGGAUCUCCAUCUCCCCAUGUGUCUCUGUGCCCAUGGAUAGCACUUGCAGAGAGGAGGAGAACCCAUUGUUGGGACAGAAGUAGUUUGGGCACAGGCAGGGGCUUAGAGGCAGAGCUUUGAGCCACAAGGGCUAUGAUUCCAUGUGUCGACACUGGCAUUGUCACUCCUUCUCAUUCUGUAGUUCUUCAGAUACACCAUAAACAGCCUCUGUGGUGGAGCGGGAUGAAGGGUGGAUGGUGAUCCUGGACACAGAUGUCUUCCUAUCUGGAAUAUGCUUCUUGGAUAAUUUGGGGUUCAGUCUAUAAAUCUUCUAGGAAAAGGACCCUUGCCGUUUCCAGACACGUGGAGACACUAGUUUAUCCCAAUCACAUCCAUUCCCCACCCCAAAGCUGUAAGUGGAACCCAAAGUAUGGGUAGAGAUUUUGGCGCUGCUGUUGCCCUCUUGGAACCUGGUGGUGGGGAAGCUAGUAGGAUAUGAGCACUGCUUCUUUGGGUUUCCACUUUUUUCUGGUGUUGGAGCUCUGUUUCAUCCUAUGAACAUACCUCUCAUUUCUUUUCCACAGGCUAUUUUGUAUGCAAGAAGGCCUGGUCCUUUCCCAGGAUCGUCUUGCAGGCUGUACCCCAUGGACCACCCUUCACCACCAGUCAUGGGCUAUAGGCCACAUCCCCCUCCUCCACCUAUUCUAUUUGUUAAGAUGACCUGAACUGGAUGAGUGGCUGGACAACUCUUUUGAAAUUUGAAGAGGACUGUGCACGGUGACAGACUAUGGUGAUUAUAUACACAUUUUAAGAAGAUGUCAGAUCUACCUUAAUGCUUUCCCUGCCCAUCAUGUCCCCUCCAGUUUGUCCUUCCUACUGUCCCCUAAUCCGUGUUUCAUCGUUUUGUCUCUGUGUCAGCGUCUGCUUCUGGGACCAUCUACUCUCACUCUCCCAUCGAGUGCACACAGUGGGGUUCCUGUACACACAGGUAACAAAGUGGCAGAAAUGGUGGUGAUGGAGGAUAGAAGCAAGAUCACCCCUUGUGCAGGGGAGCCUGAGGGAGUUUUCCGGGGUGAUGGGAACUUCCUAUAUCUAGAUUGAUGGGGUGCUUAUGCUCAAUUAUUUUGGAAAUAUUCCCUGACUCCAUGGUGACUUGGGAUCAGAUAGACAGGUAUCUGUCCUUAGGAAAUGGCUAUGUUCUAAUGGUGGAGAAGGAUGAGUGGUGGGGAAGGUGGAAAUGGUGGAGAAGGAUGACCAGCAGUGACCGUGAAGAGGAGUGAGGGUCAGACCCACGCCCAGGAUGCCAGGUCUCCACAGACAGCACCACGUGUAGGAGGACUCUGAGGAGCAGAGAUUUCUUGAUCAGACCCAUGAGCUACAUAAUCCUCCUGCAGUUUCCUCACUGAGAAAUGGCCAGAGCAGAGGCCAGCAGCUGGAGGACACCCUGAUUAUGGCUGGAGUGGAGCAGUGGGCCUGGGGGAUUGAGUCGGGGAAAGGGACAGGCAGAAGGUAGUGACAGGGAGUUUGAGAGACGAACGGAAGAGAAGGGACCCUUCUCUGCUGACUUCACUGACAUUUCUGUGUAACCAAAAGAGAUCCUUGUCUCCCAGAGAAGGGAAGAGGGCUGGCAAAUAGAGUGAGACAUUCACAGCUCAACUGCCCAGGUUAUCUGCCUUGUUCUUGAGUACCUAACACAGGAAGCAUGUGCUUUCUGUCAUGAUUGGAACUGCAUCUCGUACCAUUUAGUGAAAAUCAAUCCAAUUAUGAAUCCCUCAGCAUUGAAGAACUGCAAUGAAAUUAAGUGAACAGACUGAAGAUACAUCACAGGAUAAAGUCCAAAGGUAGACCGACUGCAAUACUUACGGGAAUACAGUCUAUCAGAAAAGGAGGUAGGUACCCCAGUGCAGGCAUUCGGAUACAUGGGCAAUAUCUGAAAAUGUAAAUAUAUAUAUAUAUAUAUAUAUAUAUUUUUUUUCCCUUACUUCAAAAGCAACACUAGCGCUAGACACAAAGGGAUCAUGAUUUAAGGUUUAGAGAGAAACCAUUUGACUUCAUGGUGCUGUACCCAUGAGAUCAAGUCUCAUCAAAUCAUACCCUUUAAUUUGAAGCUAUUUGUUAUAUGUAAAUUAUACCUUAUUAAAGAGAGUUUCAAAACACUAGAA